UGAAAUUCAGACCGUUUCGUAUUCUUUCAGAUAUUUGUGUUCUUAGUCGAAACUUCGUCGAAAGAUAUUUGGUUAUUUUAUUUAUAAGACAAUAUUCUCCUAUCUGAGAACUAGAACCAUGAUGACGUCUAAGAAAUGUUUUCUAUGUAAAAAAAAUGUAAAUUAUUUCACAAUUGUGGAAGAAUGGAAACGAGUUUGGGAUGAAGAUGGAGUGAGACUAGAGCAGAAACAUUUUUAUUCAAAUAAAGUCCAAUGUCCCCCAUCUUGCCUGGAUCUGCACCACCGCCUUCAGGCUUUUCCUGUAAUACAGAUGCCUUCCUGUAGAUGUAACCAACCUUGUUCUCCAGGAUGUACAUAUCCUUCAAGUGGUAAACCAGUACUGCCCAUGUUAGAGGACGUGGAUUGGGGGACUAUUUUCAGACUACCGACUCAUUCACACCACCGAAUCAUCCAUCCAAAAACCAUUUGGAGAAAUGUAGAAUUGUUUGGAUUGAUAAAAAGAAAAAGAUGGUAACUAUUUUCUAAAUGACACUACCAAUAUAUAGUUAGUUAGGUCUUUUGUACUUGUCUCUUUUGUAUGUAUUCCUAUUAUUUUAUUUAUAUUCAUUUACAGUGCAGUUAUAUGUUGUCAUAUAUUAAAUAUAUGCCUUUCAGUACAUCUACUAUGUUAAUGAUCUUUUCAUUGUCAAACUAUGAAAAAUAAACCAAUGAUAUAUCAAUACGUAUCAAUCGAACUGAAGUUUUACAAAAAUUAAAUGUUUUAUGAGUUGA